AUUGAACGCUGGCGGCAUGCCUUACACAUGCAAGUCGAACGGUAACGGGCCUUCGGGUGCCGACGAGUGGCGAACGGGUGAGUAAUGCAUCGGAACGUACCUUUCAGUGGGGGAUAACGUAGCGAAAGUUACGCUAAUACCGCAUAUUCUGUGAGCAGGAAAGCAGGGGAUCGCAAGACCUUGCGCUGAUUGAGCGGCCGAUGUCAGAUUAGCUAGUUGGUGAGGUAAGGCUCACCAAGGCGACGAUCUGUAGCGGGUCUGAGAGGAUGAUCCGCCAACCUGGAACUGAGACACGGUCCAGACUCCUACGGGAGGCAGCAGUGGGGAAUUUUGGACAAUGGGGGCAACCCUGAUCCAGCCAUGCCGCGUGAGUGAAGAAGGCCUUCGGGUUGUAAAGCUCUUUCGGCCGGGAAGAAAUCGUAUGGGCUAAUACCCUGUGCGGAUGACGGUACCGGCAUAAGAAGCACCGGCUAACUACGUGCCAGCCGCCGCAGUAAGAC
rnacentral:rRNA from 1 species